GCCCAGGUGGCGGAACUGGUAGACGCGUUGGACUUAAAAUCCAAUGGCCAGCAAUGGCUGUGCGGGUUCAAGUCCCGCCCUGGGUA
rnacentral:tRNA from 1 species